AUGUCGCCAGCACCACUGCCACAUCAGUCAGGACGGCCACCUGGACAGUCAGGACGGCCGCCUGGACAGUCAGGAUGGGCCUCUAUGAUCAGGACGGCCCCUCCACGGUCAGGACUGCUGCCUCCAAGGUCAGGACAGCCCUCCACGGUCAGGAUGACCCCUGGACAGUCAGGACUGCCGUUGCCUCGACAGUCAGGAUGGCGGCCACAUCAGACAAGAUGGCUGCCACAGAGCUGCCACAUCUGCCGCAAAAAGCAGGGUCCACUGGUACCCAGAGCCUCAGGGGGACUGGAUUCAGAACAGAACAAAUUAAUUGUUAAACUGCGAGCAGACGCCAAAUGGAGAAGUCAAAACCCAGGGCGGCCUGAACUCUCCAAGGAACGGGAAGAAAUCCGUCAGCCCAUCCCUGCGCCCCUGAGAAUGCCGGAGCCCACAGACCUUCGUGGAAUGAAUGGACUCAACACAGGUUCCCCAGCCAUGAUCAAUGCCAGCUGUAAAAUAACCACAUCACCCCCCCUGGCGGAUGGUGCCCACGAGAACCUCCCAGACUUCAGCCUCCAAAAGACUCCAGGCUCAGGACAGCACCAACUGUUACGGGAAGUUCAAGAACAGGCAAAACCACCCCACGCCGCCAGACUUCAGAGUGGCCGGACCAUCUGGGGCGUGGUCACCCUUGUACACUUAAGCCCUGUGCACUUACACUAUGAAAGUUACACCUCCCCUCAAAAGUAG
rnacentral:lncRNA from 1 species